rnacentral:lncRNA from 1 species
CCGUCCGUCUGUCCGCUCUCCCUCAACUGACGUUGUGGGGUGAAUUGAACGUACGGAUAACACUUGCGGGGUUUUUGGUUGCUUACGGGGUGCACCCCAUAUGCAACCCAUUGCAAACGUGUCCAUGGUUCCUAAAACCCCGGAAAAAAUGCCUUCCAGUUUUGCACCCCACAAACAGCGGACACUACUGGCCGUCCGUUUUCUAUGGACGAUAUCAUAAAUAUUACAAAUUACAUUGAUGAAAAUCUAUAAUUAGAUAUGAGACGUGCGCAUGCGCACUAGCAGUAAAGGUGAGCGCGCGCACCCAAGUACAAUUCACUUCCGUUGGUAGUAACGCGUAAUGGCGGACUUACAGGGAAAUUGUGAGCUUUUGAAGAAGAAAAGGCUGAAUUCCACCUAAGAGACGUUCUUGUAUGAUAUAGACUGGGCACUGGCCUAUUGGUCACCAGCAUAUACCAAGUAUAAUACCUGAAGGUUCUAAGACUGGGAUGAAGUUUAAUACCAAUUGAGCUGUAAGGAAAGAGGUUGGAAUCAAAGUCCUUGUCUGUUGGCAACUACAGAUAUAGCAGAAGCAGAUUAAACACAGGAAAUGGCUGCUCAAGAUAGCAUUUAACCAAAUGAGCUGAUUUAAUUGCUCAUGGAGUCAGAACACAUGGCUCAAAUGGAACAAGAGGAACAUACCCUGUAGACGAAAACAUCGCGAGAAUUCAUCAAAAACAAGACAAAAAUGAAGUCAGAAUGAGGAUGAGGAAAUAAGAAAAAUAUUUCAUAAAUGUUUCCUUACAAGAAAAUGUCCAACAGCUCAUCAUUGUCUUAAAGCUAUAAAUUUAAGCAGGAAGAACAACUGUUGCAUUUGUAAACGUAAGAAGGAUGUCCUUAAAAAAGAAGUCAUAUUGAAGGAUUGACAGCUUAAGUGAUUAACAUUUAUGUAGUAGACAGCGACUGGGAAACCCAUGAGACAUGAACCAUAGUCACAUAAAAAUAAAAAAAAUGUCACAUAAGUUUUAAGUGCUGAUGAGCCCUGUGUCAUAUGGCUAAAGUGUAUUGAAUGCAAAAGAAUGAAACUAUUUAAUAGUGCAAAUUUUAUGUAAAGGAAUGUAACCAAAUUCAAUGUUUAAAGACAUGUGUUAACAUAGUAUUUUAUUCUAGACUUUGAUUUUUGUCAGUUUUCAAUAUUUGUCCCCAAGUAAGAGGAAAUUGUUGCUAGUAAAAAGGCAAAAAAGUUACCUUUAAGUUUAAGUUUUACAAAUAUCAACAAUAAUGAGGAAUUGACUUGCGAUGAAAAUAACAACACCCGUUUUUAAACAUAUUUAAAAUAAUUGUUCAUAGAAGUAACGGUACACUUAGUCUGUUUCUUCUUCCAAAGUAUUAAAUGUUGACAAUGUUUACUUUUAUCACAUACAGGCACAUUGCUGUAAAUUUUUUUAAAGAAUAUUAUCCAGGGUAUGAUUAGAGCAUUGUUCGGAAGACUUACAUUUAUUAUCAGUGGUAUAAAGGAGUACUGUUCAGUUCUACCAGGAAAGUAGAGUAGAAUAAAUGCUUUGAAUAUUAUUGACAUUAAAGCUGUUGAGCUGUUACAGUUUUAGUUGCUAUACUUUUAUUUAAUUAAGAGCUUAUUUAAUCUGAAAUGUAUACAUACUACAGUGCAAAUUCCUAGCACACUAAUCGCAGAUGUCCCACAGAAAUUUCUGAAUGUCACAAAAUUUUAAAAUGUCACUUAACAAAUUGUGUAUGAUGGGCCUUCGUCCCAUGAACAAAAAUUCGUUCCCUGUCGCUGAGUAGAAUGAAUAUCAUCCAAACUUUUUGCCUGUUCGGAAAUAAAUAUAAUUGAUUUUAGUCAACACUUUAAUUCUUUUGAGGAAAAGCUAGUGUUGUAUGAUGUUUAAUCAGCUCUAUUUAGUAUAGACUCAAAUAGUAAACCUUAAAAGUGGUGUACCCUGAAGUUCUUAACUAUAUUAUUAUUUCUCAUAUUGGACCAGACAUUGAGCAGAUUAUUCCUUUGUCAUAGAAAUGAGCACACGGUGUACUGAAUUUUUUACUAGGCUAUAUUAGAAAAAUUUGUCCUGAUGAAAGAUGCUACGAGUUUUAGUGUACAUCACUUUUAGAUAUAGUCACUGUCGUGAUAUGUGUUUGACGUACAUCUGCUUUAAUUGAAUGUAAACCCAUGUACAAGGCAGGUUUCUUGUUAGUGGGUUACAAGUUGUUUUACCUUUUUUGUGGGUAACAAGUUUUACCUUGUUUUAUGCUAUUUUUAGCUCGAUUAUUCAAAGAAUAGGUAGUGCUAUUGCACUCACUCAUGCGUCGGCGUCGCGUCCCGACCAGGUUAAGUUUUUGUAUGUAAGCUGAUAUCUCAGUAACCACAUAUCGGAAUGGAUUGAAACUUCACACACUUGUUCACUGUGAUAAACUGACCCACAUUGCAGAGGUUCCAUAAAUCUGAUUGCUUAUUUACAAAAUUAUGCCCCUUUCUUGACUUAGAAAUUUUUAGUUAGGUUUUUGUGUGUAAGCUGAUAUCUCAAUAACCACUAAAGGGAAUGGAUUGAAACUUCACAUACUUGUUUCCUGUGAUAAACUGACCUAAAUUGCACAGGCUCCAUAAGUCUGAUUGCAUAUUUACAAAACUAUGCCCCUUUUUCGACUUAGAAAUUUUAGGUUAAAGUUCUGUAUGUAAGCUGGUAUCUCAACAACCACUAGUGGGAAUUGAUUGAAACUUCACGUACUUGUUUACUGUGAUGAACUAACCUAUACUGCACAGGUUCCAUAACUCUGAUUUGCAUUUUUUCAAAAUUGUUCCCCUUUUUCUACUUUUAAAUUUAUUUAAUUGACAAGGCUGUUGAAUAGUCGAGCAUUUAUGUCCUCCGACAUUUCUUGUUAAACAUUUAGAAUGUUGGUGUAAACAUACUCGAAAUUGUUCGUCUGGUUUAUUUCUGUUAUUGCCAAAAAAUGAAAAUAUUCAUGACAUAUUAAAAUGACAUUAAGCUUACCUUACUGCAUAGGUGUUUUUGGUUACUGUGUUAGACUGUCAGUUUUAUAUUGCUGUACAUUUAGAUGUGUUAAAUAACCAAAAAUGCAACAACAAAAGUUCAAGUUAAUACUUUAAAACUAAGAAUUUACUUUCCAAAUGUUACUUUUCUUAUUUUGACUGGGACAGUCUUUUUAAGAAAACUAGACUGUGUACUAUAAUUCCCUUAAGUCUGUUUCUUUAUAUUUAAGGUAGUGAUUACCUUAGACACCAGAAAUGCCAUUUUUGCAAAACUUGUAUGAUUGUAAUGAAACUUGGUACAUACAUAGUCGUCAUGUAGUCACGGGUGUCAAUCUUAGGCGCAACAAAAAUGCCAAGAAAUAUAAGUAAAUUUUUGACUGGGAUAGUCAAAUAAAAUUGUGUUUACUACUUUAUAUGAAUAAAGCUGAACAUAUCUAUAUA